GACGAACGCUGGCGGCGUGCCUAAUACAUGCAAGUCGAACGCAGUGGGGACGGGUGAGUAACACGUGGGUAACCUAACAUCAGAGGGGAUAACACUUGUCAACAGGUGCUAAAACGAUACUGCUGGAUGGAGCCGCGGUGCAUUAGCUCGUUGGUGAGGGAACGGCUCACCAAGGCAAGGAUGCAUAGCCGACCUGGGAGGGUGAUAGGCAACACGGGGACUGAGCCACGGCCCAGACUCCUACGGUAGGCAGAAGUAGGGAAUCUUCGGCAAUGGACGAAAGUCUGACCGAGCAACGCCGCGUGAGUGAAGAAGGUUUUCGGAUCGUAAAACUCUGUUGUUAGAGAAGCGGUAUCUAACCAGAAAGCCACGGCUAACUACGUGCCAGCAGCCGCGGUAAUUC
rnacentral:rRNA from 1 species